rnacentral:lncRNA from 10 species
UGAGCCACCGCGCCCAGCCCAGAACCUGUUUUUUAAUUUAAAAUUCUUAUUUAAAAGUUCUGUACAUUUUGAGAAUUCUUAAAACCUUCACACAUUUAAUUUAAAUAGCAGCAGAGAUAUCUGGUUCCUGGUAAUGUGAACAGGAUGGCUUGAUACAAGCUCCCUGCUCACUGCAUUUCCUCACUUCCUAAAUUCCUAGGGAUGUACCUCCAGUGAAUAAUAGUUUUUACCACCUGUACAUAUACAGGGUCAGCGGCCAUGGCUCCUUGCUCACCCAUUAACUAAGAUCACAUCCUACAUACAGUACCAGACUUAGAGCCAGAGCCCUGGUCAUGGCCUCCUAGGUUCUCACACUUGACUUUUACUCAAUCAUUUCACCAUUUAGGCUUUAUAAAAAGGGGAGACUGGCCGGGCGCGGCGGCUCAUGCCUGUAAUCCCAGCACUUUGAGAGGCUGAGGGAGGUGGAUGACCUGAGGUCAGGAGUUUGAGACCACCCAACAUGGUGAAACCCUGUCUCUACUAAAAAUACAAAAAUUAGCCAGGUAUAGUGGCACAUGCCUGUAGUCCCAGCUACUCUGAGGCAGCUGAGGCAGGAGAAUCGCUUGAACCUGGGAGGCGGAGGUUGCAGUGAGCCGAGAUCAUGCCACUGUACUCCAGCCUGGGUGACACAGUGAAACUCCAUCUCAAAUAAAUAAAUAAAUAAAAUGGGGGAAUUAUAUGACUGUUAGGGUCCUCCAGAUCUGAUACCCAGGACUGUAAUCUAAAGACUUGAUUAUGUUCAUUAAUACAUGGCAAUUUCAUUCCUUUCCUAAGAAUUACUAUCCAAAGAUCAUCCCUAAGCCCUUCCUACAAGAAACUGCCCCUUUUACAGAAUGAAUAAAGUUGUCCUAGAUUCCCGUUUUUUCCUCACUUUUUCUCAUAUCUCUAAGUGACAGUAUCCGGAGACAGCUCAGAAAGCUGGAUUUUUAGCUUUUCGUCAUAGGGCUUGUAUAUGUACAUGCAUGCAUGCACAAAUGUAUGUAUAUGUUCAUUCUUAAAGGGAUAUGGGCCAUGGGCACCUUCACUCUGUGGCCCCCCACCUCCCACCAGCCCUACUUGAAUUUUAGUAAAUAGUAAUUAAAUGCCAGGACCAGGCACAGUGGCUCACACCUGUAACCCCAGCAUUUUUG